UAACACGUGAGNNACCUGCCUACUACANCGGGAUAACACNAAGAANUUUGNGCUAAUACGGUAUAAGACCACGNUACCGANUGGUACAGGGGUAAAAGCGAUUUAGNGGNNUAGAUGGGCUCGCGUCCCAUUAGUUAGNUGGUGAGGUAACGGCCCACCAAGACCGCGAUGGGUAGCCGACCUGAGAGGGUGAUCGGCCACACUGGNACUGAGACACGGCCCANACUCCUACGGGAGGCAGCAGUGGGGAAUAUUGGGCAAUGGAGGAAACUCUUACCCAGCAAUGCCGCGUGAGUGAAGAAGGUCUUCGGAUUGUAAAGCUCUUUGAUUGGGGAUGAAAAAAUGACGGUACCCAAAGAACAAGCCCCGGCUAACUACGNGCCAGCAGCCGCGGUAAUACNNAGGGGGCGAGCGUUGUCCGGAAUGACUGGGCGUAAAGGGUGUGUAGGNGGUUUAUUAAGUUNGAAGUGAAAUACCUAGGGCUUAACCCAGGUGCUGCUUCUAAAACUGANANACUUGAGUGCAGNAAAGGAAAGUGGNAUUNCUANNGUAGCGNNGGAAUGCNUAGAUAUUANGAGGAACAUCAGUGGCGAANGCGACUUUCUGGACUGUAACUGACGCUGAGGCACGAAAGUGUGGGNAGCAAACAGGAUUAGAUACCCUGNUAGUCCACACUGUAAACGAUGGAUACUANGUGU
rnacentral:rRNA from 1 species